UACGGAGGGGGCGAGCGUUGUCCGAAUUUAUUGGGCGGAAAGCGCGUGUAGGCGGAUGGACAAGCCUGAGGUGAAAGGUUGGGGCUCAACCCCAUACAGUGCCUUGGGGACUGUUCGUCUGGAGGCCGGCAGAGGAGAGUGGAAUUCCUGGUGUAGCGGUGGAAUGCGUAGAGAUCAGGAAGAACACCCAUGGCGAAGGCAGCUCUCUGGGCCGGUACUGACGCUGAGACGCGAAAGCGCGGGGAGCGAACGGG
rnacentral:rRNA from 1 species